rnacentral:rRNA from 1 species
AGAGUUUGAUCCUGGCUCAGGAUGAACGCUAGCUACAGGCUUAACACAUGCAAGUCGAGGGGCAGCAUGGUCUUAGCUUGCUAAGGCCGAUGGCGACCGGCGCACGGGUGAGUAACGCGUAUCCAACCUGCCUUACACUCUUGGACAGCCUUCUGAAAGGGAGAUUAAUACAAGAUGUUAUCAUGAGUAAGCAUUUUCGCAUGAUUAAAGGUUUACCGGUGUAAGAUGGGGAUGCGUUCCAUUAGAUAGUAGGCGGGGUAACGGCCCACCUAGUCUUCGAUGGAUAGGGGUUCUGAGAGGAAGGUCCCCCACAUUGGAACUGAGACACGGUCCAAACUCCUACGGGAGGCAGCAGUGAGGAAUAUUGGUCAAUGGACGAGAGUCUGAACCAGCCAAGUAGCGUGCAGGAUGACGGCCCUAUGGGUUGUAAACUGCUUUUAUAAGGGAAUAAAGUGAGUCUCGUGAGACUUUUUGCAUGUACCUUAUGAAUAAGGACCGGCUAAUUCCGUGCCAGCAGCCGCGGUAAUACGGAAGGUCCGGGCGUUAUCCGGAUUUAUUGGGUUUAAAGGGAGCGUAGGCCGGAGAUUAAGCGUGUUGUGAAAUGUAGACGCUCAACGUCUGCACUGCAGCGCGAACUGGUUUCCUUGAGUACGCACAAAGUGGGCGGAAUUCGUGGUGUAGCGGUGAAAUGCUUAGAUAUCACGAAGAACUCCGAUUGCGAAGGCAGCUUACUAACCUGUAACUGACAUUGAUGCUCGAAAGUGUGGGUAUCAAACAGGAUUAGAUACCCUGGUAGUCCACACGGUAAACGAUGAAUACUCGCUGUAGGCGAUAUACAGUCUGCGGCCAAGCGAAAGCAUUAAGUAUUCCACCUGGGGAGUACGCCGGCAACGGUGAAACUCAAAGGAAUUGACGGGGGCCCG